CAUGCAAGUCGAACGCGAAAGAGACUUCGGUCUCGAGUAGAGUGGCGCACGGGUGAGUAACGCGUGGAUAAUCUGCCCUCAUGACCGGGAUAACAGUUGGAAACGGCUGCUAAUACCGGAUACGCUCUGAAUGAACUUUUAGGGGAAAGACGGCCUCUGCUUGCAAGCUGUCGUAUGAGGAUGAGUCCGCGUCCCAUUAGCUGGUUGGCGGGGUAACGGCCCACCAAGGCAACGAUGGGUAGCCGAUCUGAGAGGAUGAUCGGCCACACUGGAACUGAAACACGGUCCAGACUCCUACGGGAGGCAGCAGUGGGGAAUAUUGCGCAAUGGGCGAAAGCCUGACGCAGCGACGCCGCGUGAGGGAUGAAGGUUUUCGGAUCGUAAACCUCUGUCAGAAGGGAAGAAAGUGUGUGGUGCUAAUCAGCCGCGCAUUGACGGUACCUUCAAAGGAAGCACCGGCUAACUCCGUGCCAGCAGCCGCGGGU
rnacentral:rRNA from 1 species